rnacentral:rRNA from 1 species
GACGAACGCUGGCGGCGUGCUUAACACAUGCAAGUCGAACGAAGAGCGAUGGAAGCUUGCUUCUAUCAAUCUUAGUGGCGAACGGGUGAGUAACGCGUAAUCAACCUGCCCUUCAGAGGGGGACAACAGUUGGAAACGACUGCUAAUACCGCAUACGAUCUAACCUCGGCAUCGAGGAAAGAUGAAAGGUGGCCUCUAUGUAUAAGCUAUCACUGAAGGAGGGGAUUGCGUCUGAUUAGCUAGUUGGAGGGGUAACGGCCCACCAAGGCGAUGAUCAGUAGCCGGUCUGAGAGGAGGACCGGCCACAUUGGGACUGAGACACGGCCCAGACUCCUACGGGAGGCAGCAGUGGGGAAUCUUCCGCAAUGGACGAAAGCCCGACGGAGCAACGCCGCGUGAGUGAUGACGGCCUUCGGGUUGUAAGCUCUGUUAAUCGGGACGAAAGGCCUUCUUGCGAAUAGUGAGAAGGAUUGACGGUACCGGAAGAGAAAGCCACGGCUAACUACGUG